GACGAACGCUGGCGGCAUGCCUAAUACAUGCAAGUCGAGCGAACAGAUGAAGUGCUUGCACUUCUGACGUUAGCGGCGAACGGGUGAGUAACACGUAAGGAAUCUACCUAUAAGCGGGGGAUAACAUUCGGAAACGGGUGCUAAUACCGCAUAAUAUCUUCUUCCGCAUGGAAGAAGAUUGAAAGACGGCUCUGCUGUCACUUAUAGAUGACCUUGCGGUGCAUUAGUUAGUUGGUGGGGUAACGGCCUACCAAGACGAUGAUGCAUAGCCGACCUGAGAGGGUGAUCGGCCACAUUGGGACUGAGACACGGCCCAAACUCCUACGGGAGGCAGCAGUAGGGAAUCUUCCGCAAUGGGCGAAAGCCUGACGGAGCAAUGCCGCGUGAGUGAAGAAGGCCUUCGGGUCGUAAAACUCUGUUAUAAGAGAAGAACAAAUUGUAGAGUAACUGCUACAGUCUUGACGG
rnacentral:rRNA from 1 species